AACUCGCCUGCAUGAAGUCGGAAUUACUAGUAAUCGCGGAUCAGCAUGCCGCGGUGAAUACGUUCUCGGGCCUUGUACACACCGCCCGUCACACCAUGGGAGUCGGUAACACCCGAAGUCUGUAGCCUGACGCAAGAGGGCGCAGCCGAAGGUGGGAUUGAUGACUGGGGUGAAGUCGUAACAAGGUAGC
rnacentral:rRNA from 1 species